UGGCAUUGGCGCAGCUACCAUGCAGUCGAGCGGAGAGAGGUGAGCUUGCUACUGAUCUUAGCGGCGGACGGGUGAGUAAUACUUAGGAAUCUGGCUAUUAGUGGGGGACAACAUUUCGAAAGGGAUGCUAAUACCGCAUACGUCCUACGGGAGAAAGCAGGGGAUCUUCGGACCUUGCGCUAAUAGAUGAGCCUAAGUCGGAUUAGCUAGUUGGUGGGGUAAAGGCCUACCAAGGCGACGAUCUGUAGCGGGUCUGAGAGGAUGAUCCGCCACACUGGGACUGAGACACGGCCCAGACUCCUACGGGAGGCAGCAGUGGGGAAUAUUGGACAAUGGGGGGAACCCUGAUCCAGCCAUGCCGCGUGUGUGAAGAAGGCCUUAUGGUUGUAAAGCACUUUAAGCGAGGAGGAGGGUACUGGUAUUAAUACUACCAGGUACUGGACGUUACUCGCAGAAUAAGCACCGGCUAACUCUGUGCCAGCAGCCGCGGUAAUACAGAGGGUGCGAGCGUUAAUCGGAUUUACUGGGCGUAAAGCGUGCGUAGGCGGCUAAUUGAGUCGGAUGUGAAAUCCCCGAGCUUAACUUGGGAAUUGCAUUCGAUACUGGUUAGCUAGAGUGUGGGAGAGGAUGGUAGAAUUCCAGGUGUAGCGGUGAAAUGCGUAAAGAUCUGGAGGAAUACCGAUGGCGAAGGCGGCCAUCUGGCCUAACACUGACGCUAAGGUACGAAAGCAUGGGGAGCAAACAGGAUUAGAUACCCUGGUAGUCCAUGCCGUAAACGAUGUCUACUAGCCCUUGGUCUCUUUGAGGGAUUAUUGGCGCAACUUAAGCGAUAAUUAAACCGCCGGGGGAAUACGGUCCCAAAACUAAAACUCCAAUGAAUUUGACGGGGGCCCCCCCAAACCGGUGGAACCAGGUGGU
rnacentral:rRNA from 1 species